rnacentral:lncRNA from 1 species
UCAGUUAUUAUUCUUGAUAGAGUAUUUUUGAACUCACAUGUAUUGCCCGCUGUCUUUUAAGCGCCUGCCGCAUUGUUGUAAGCUAGCUUGUUCGUAGCAGUGUUUUGUUGUAACACUAUUGUUCACUUUUGUGCGCCCAGAUUACACUAGUUUAUCGAAUUCAGCAACGAGGAACUUUAGUUUGCUUAUGUUACAUUGUUGCAUUUUGGUUAUGUUACCUUGUUGUUGCAUUGUAUCUCUGUUGUAACUCAGAAAUUCGCUGUCUUUUACUGUUCCAUGUCUUUUGCUGUUCCUCUUCUUUUCUUACAUUGAGAUUUGGUUCAGUUUAAGAGUAUGGGAGAGCGCUGAAGAUUACUACUGCCAGUAACUGAAUACCAGUCAGUGCACACAUUGCUUUCCUCUUUGGGGAAGGCGUCUAUCGGAAUAGAUACCUUUGUUUAGGGAUGAAAAUGGAGUGGAAACGUACGGAACUAGGUGCUACCAUAUUUGUUUUCAUAUCUUUUUGCAGAAGCGGAAACGAAUACGGAAACCCCGGAAAUGAAUACGGAAACAAAUGCUGUCGGAAAUAGACACGGAGCGAAUACAGAGCGAACACGAAAACAAAAUGGUGUGUUGACCGAAACUUAAAACCCCCUUGAAUCAUAGAGAACUACACACAAAAAACAAAGAAAUUUAAGAGAUUCUUAACAUGGCUACAUGAUAAUAUGGUUGUGUUGGCAACAUAGACUAGUAUUGUAAAUUUGUAAUAGUACAUGACAAUUUCGUAUUCUGUCUAGUUGAGAAUGUGUGUGGAAGUAAAAGUUGGUCCUCAAAUGAUUUAGUCUGCUCAUUAUGUCAUUGUGUGUUGUUUGGUAAUUGGGCUACAAAGCAGUCAUGGACCUAUAAUAGAAACGGGAAUUCCAUAUUCACGGAAACGGAAUGUUCCGUUCCCACGUUUGUUCUACUGGAAAACACCGUUUCGUUUUUGUUUCCGUUUUCGCAUAAAAAAAUCCAUUUUCAUUUUCAUUUUACAAAUUUCCAUUCCUGUUUUCAUAUUUCCUCUCUAUUUUCAUUUUUCGUCCCGAAAAGCGGAAACUUUCUACUCCAUUUUCAUCUCUAUCUUUGUUGCGUGUGCAGUGAUUCUGAUAGGCUGAUGACGCACAUAGUUGUGAUGUACCAAAUCAAAAAGUACUUCGUGUACGCUUGAUGUAGGAUUUGCCGCUCGGUGACUAGCCUUGCAAAAAGUGCUGCCUUGCCUAUUCCCUGUGAUGGGCCCGAUCUGGUGCAAAUCGUACAACCGCUGGGCGCUGGGCAUUCCUACUGUGGGGUUUCCCUGUGCACCUACUUGGGCAUUCCACUUGUCCUGCGUGCUCUUAGGAAAGCCAAGGUGCAAGAAGUUCCAGGAUUGGCUUGCAAACUGAACUCGAAGUGGUUUGAUAGGAGGCAAGCUGUAGGAGUGAUUCGCCUCUGCACCAUUAAAGCAACUCCAACGGGACGAUUUAAACGGACACACGUUUUGUCCGUUUUUUAUCCGUUUGGAUCGGCCAGGCAGACGUGCACGUUGUUGGUGCAGCCCUAGACUAGCUCUCUCUCAGCGGACGAAGGUAGAAGAAGCACUUUUUCUGAUGAUCAACACCCCGGCGUUCAAACGCCCUGGUUUUUCUUUAUCUCUGGACUAACCAGCUACGGGCUACAACCUUGGACGCACACACAUACACUUUCCUAACAAACACAACCCGGGGGAAUUUUAUACUCGGCCAAUGCAUGCAUGCACAUCGCUGCCCACCUCCCUGAUCUAGGCACUAUCCAUCCGCUCGGCCCAGCCUUCACGACGCGCUCUACGCGUACGACCCGGCCGGCUACGAACGGAACGCUGCCGCCGUUUUGCUACUACCGCCAGCACUGGCGGAGCUACAUGUAAUGAAAAUGAGCCAUGGCCUGCCCAUUCCAAAGCUAAUACAGUGUAGGAUUAAAGUAAACUGAGUCACGAAAAAAAAUAUAAUGAUCUUCCUUCAUAUUGGCCCGCCCAGCUUUGACUGGGUAGCUCCGCCAACUACGACGGCCACGAGCAGGUAUACGCACGCCACACACACAUACGCACACAUGUAUACAUUGCCACGGCUUCCGCUGCGACCCGCGCGCACUCGACGCGUUUGAUGAGCCCGACCGCAUUAGUGUUUCCGCAUGUCCGGCGUGCAUUCAACGAGCCCGAUCAUACCACACGCCGUGGCUUACUGCAACACACACCCCCUAAGCCACGGCUUAAAGGAGUCCGUCGUCGUCGACGUUGGCGCCGGCCAAGAGAGCCUGUUCCGCCGCCGGUCCUUUCCGCAGCUGCGGGCACUCGUGUCGGAAGUGCCCGUGCUCCCCACACUUGUAGCAGCGUCUGCGCCUGUUGCCGCCGCUCCUCGACGCCACGCAGCGCCUGUCGUCGUCGUCCCGUGCUCCGCCGUGCUGUCGCUCCUGCGCCCGCCACUACGUCGCCGUGAACAGAAGUUGUCCGUCCGCCCGCUCGCCGCUGUCGUGCCGUCGACGCCGAACUUGCUCGUCGAACACGUGCAGCCACCCGAGCGCUUCGUCGAACACCAUCAUCGUCACGUCGUGAAACUGCUCGAUGCCGGCGACGACGGGGAAGAGCCGAUCCGACACCGUAUCCAGCAGCUUCUUGACGAGCGCCGCGUCGCCCAGCAUCUCUCCGAGGUUGGCGUACCUCGCCGCCAUCGCCGCGAGCCUCCCGUCGUACACACCGAGCUCCUCGCCGUCCGCCAUCUUCAGGUGGUCAAAUUCGCUGUGCAGCAUCGCCAGCCUCGCCGCACGGACCCGCUCGGCACCGAUGAACCUCACCUUCAGGGAGUCUCAUACCUCCCUGGCGGUGAGCUUCGUUGACACCUGCAGCAGCACAUCCUCCGACAACGCCCCGAGAAGCAACACGCGCGGCGUCUUGUCCUUCCGUGCGUUCGCCGCGGCGUCACCCGACGCCACCGCCUCCCGUACGGUGUGGACGUCGAGGAUCGCCUGCGCCUUGAUGGCCCAGACCGUGUAGUUGUCCGCGGUCAGUAUCAGCAUCGCCAUCAUCGCCGAUCCGACCGUCACCGCCGUGUGGAACGAGCGCCAUGGUCACCGGCGAUCGCCCGAACCGAAGCUCUCUAUACCAAUUGUUGGCGCAACCCUAGACUAGCUCUCUCUCACACCAGACAAAGGAUAGAGGUAGAAGAAGCACUUUUUUCUGACGACCAACGCCCCAGCGCUCAAACGCCUUGGUUUUUCUUUAUCUCUGGACUAACCAGCCACGGGCUACAACCUUGGACGCACACACACGCGCUCUCCUAACAAACUCAACCCGGGGGGAUUUUAUACUUGGCCGGUGCAUGCAUGCACAUCGCUGCCCACCUCCCCGAUCUACGCACUAUCCAUCUGCUCAGCCCGGCCUCCAGGACGCGCUCUACGCGUAUGACCCAGCUGGCUACGAACGAAACGCCGCGGCAGUUUUGCUACUACUGCCAGUCUAACUACGACGGCCACGAGCACGCACACGCACGCCACACACACAUACGCACACAUGUAUACUUUUCACGGCUUCCGCUGUGCCCCGCACGUCCCGCGCGCACUCGACGUGUUCGACGAGUCUGACCUAACCAGUGUGUCCUGCACGUCCCACGCGCAUCCGAUGCACCCAACAAGUCCGACCACAUCACACGCCGUGGCUUAUUCCAACACACGCCCACAUUUUAAAAUGGGUCAACUUAACCACCCAACAGGGAGGCCGACCCAAAUGUGCCGGCAUGGUCAAACACCGGCCAAAGUCCACUUAGUUCUAAUUAAACAUUAAAUAAAACAUUUAAAAGUCUGCGCCCGCCUGCUGCCGCCCCGCACGCUGCCCUAGACGUCGUCGGCCUUGCCCUUGCCCUUGCCGUCGACGCCGCCGUCGCCGGUGAAGACCGGAGCAAGGCCAGCCCACCCGAACACCGUGUGGUACGCUGCCAGGGCAGCCUCCUCCGGCGUCUGCUGGGGCGGCGACAUUGCGGCCAGCCACGCGCGCUCCUCUUCCUCCUCCUCGAGCCGGAGCGCCUCCGAGUCACGUUAGAGCAUGGCCUCGUAGCGCAUCUGCUCCUUGCCGUCGGCCUGCUCCUAGCGGAGCCAGUGCUCUUUCCAGCGCUCGAGGUGGGCCGCCUCCUACUCCGGCGUCGCGGCGAAGUGGACGGAAGGCGCGCUCACCCACUCGUGGUACUGUCCCGUCCACAAGUAGGCCUCCUCCGACCAAGUGGGUGGAGGCAGGGAGCGCUUCCGCGUCGGCUCCAGCUCCAGCUCCGGCUUGGGCGGCGACGUUGGCAGUGGCGGCACGAAGAGCGGGGUGUGGACGGAGUCCCCCGCUACCGACAGGGCAAGGGCUUGCUCCAGCCCAUCCCAGUGUGUGUCCUCCUCGAGGCGGCUAGCCUCCAGCGCGUGCUGCAGGGCCUCCUUGAGGGCGGCUUGGUACUCCGCCUCCGCCUCCAUGUCGUCCGGCUCUACCUGCGGGGUGGCGGUGGGAACGGCGGCGGGACGGCGUCGACACCCAAGCGCCGUUGCUCCUCGUGUUCGAGGGCGAACCAUGCCUCCCGGUUGAGGGAGUCGGCGGCGUACUUUGGCAGCCGACGCUGCUCCGGCGUGAGCUGCGCGCGACGCCUGUGCACCUCGUCGUUGUGCGCCCGCUGGCUCCGCGGAACCGCCGGUACCGGGAUCCGCUGCGGAUUCAGAUGCCAAUGGCGCAGAAGCGUGACAUCGGGGUACGGCAGCGGCUGCCUGUACUCCCAGUGCCACCGCGCUUGGUGCACCGGGAUGUGCAGGCGUCGAGGACUAGGGCGGAAACACGGCGCCACCGAAGGAGGAGGGGGAGCACGGGAGGAUGAGGAGCCGGGGGCGCCCUUGCCCUUGCCCUUGCUGCUGCCGAAGAGGCCCAUGGGUGCGCUAGGGUUUGCGGUUGCCGGCGAGGAAGCAAAGGGAGUGGUGGGGGCCAGAUGUGGACGGGAGAAGUGGAUGAGGCUGGCCCCCACCGCAUGCGUGGUUAAAAAAGGACGCUUCCACUGGCUGAUGCAUGGGCCCGCUGUCGGUGGUCGUCAUAAAUAAGACGACCGGUGGCGGUUGAGUGGCCUACAGGUGGGGAUGCGACGGACGGCGAGGAGAUGCGUGGCGCGUCCGCUUCGCGUCUGCAUCGACGCAUUCCAGACGCAAUUUUGGGUCGGAAAUGGGUCGGCGUGGACGCCAGGCAGACACGAUUUGAGUUUGGGUCGGCGUGUUAGGCCUUCACUUUUAUCCGCACCGACCCAAAUGGACGCGGGCGGACAAAAUGGGCCGCCCCAUUGGAGUUGCUCUUAUUGACGAUGACAAAAUCACAGAGACUCGCAUCUUGUCAUAACAAGAGAUUAAAUUAAAAAAAUAAUUCAUUAAAGAGAUCACACUUCUUUUGCGAGAAGAAAAAAACCAAAUAUUACCAAAGAUCCAAAACCGACUUCGUCUUGAAGGGAGACAAUAAUACAUGAUACUUUCAACUAGUCGUCAAUGAUUGGCAUAAGAAGAAGUGUAUUUUAGCCUCCAACAAGAUGACGGCCAGAUCGAAGGUGAGCUAAAAAUUAUAUCACCAAAUACUACAAAUCUUUGUUCGGCCCACCGGAUGAAGGGUAUUUCACUGUUGACAAAACUCGAAUAGAUAAUAUUCCACAAGUCACGGCAGAAGACAAAGAUAUAUUCAUGUCACAUUUCUUUGAAGAGGAGAUGAAAGCUGCGGUGUUUCAAAUGAAACAUAAUAAAGCUUCAGGCCCUGAUGGCUUCCCCGUAGAAUUCUAUUGGAAUUUUUGGGAUGUCAUCAAGACUAACUUAUUGAAAUUGUUCAAAUGUCUUCAUACCGCCCGACUUGACCUAUCCAGGCUUAACUUUGACGAAAUCGUUUUGUUGCUGAAAAUUAAGGAGGCUAACAACAUCUACAACCGCGAUGGUCAAAUCCGACCCCGCAAAGGCCCGCGGGCACUGACCGGGCAUGCCUCACAUUUGCCACUUUGAAUCUGUGUAUCUCAUAUCCGGCACCUUAUAUCCAUACUACACAUGCAGCGUUGAGCUACUCUACGUGAUCAAACAAUGGACAACAAAAAUCGGCUACAAACAAACACAAGAUUGGUUGCAAACGGACAUUAACAAACUUUGCAACAUCCAAAAGAUCAUUUUAGUUCGUCACCGGACAAGUUCUUAAACUUCUACAACUAAAAAUGAUAUAAACAUAUGAGGAGGGGGCGGAAUCACCACUUCCUCGCCGAGCCUUUGCCCUUCCGAUCGCCGGCGCAACUAUAGGCGUUCGCGGCUUGUGGAGGGCCGUGGUCGUCUGAGGAGGUGGUGCAGUUGUCGCCAUCGUCGGAGUCGGAGUUGGAGAGGACGAUGAGCCCCUUCAUCCAAUGAACGCCCUGUCCUACUCCCGCUUCAACUUGGCGACCCCAGCCACCUCUGCCGCUGCCUCCUUCGCCUCACGCUCCGACAGCUCAAUAGCAAGCCGGAGCACCUUGGCGUUCUUCCGUCGGAGGCAGCGAGCGUCAGUCUCUGCCGUCGUGAGGGACCGACUGUAGAUCCAUGCGAGGAGCCGCUCGUCCUCGUCGAGCACCACCUGCAUCCCGCGACGGCGGCAUGCAGACUGCUCCACCACAUCCCUCUCCAUUGCCUGCUACCUAUCACGAAGUGCGGCACGCACCUCCGAAUCCGGAGUGCGCAUGCGGGCCGACGGCGCGGGCACUAGCACCCACCGCUGCUCGCGUGGAGGAGCGAUCGGCGGGGGAGGAGACGGCGUGGGGGCAAUGCGGACUACGCGGUCCUGGCGGAGCUAAGCGCUGGCCGGGAGGGUCCAGCUUUGGCAUUCGCGCUGCACCAUCGCGGGAGCUGCGGCGAUGCUCCAGAUUCGAAGCUGUCGUCGGUGUCCACCUUGGACCAUUCCAAUGCAAUGUAGAGUGCUAUCUCCUACUUGUAGUCGAGGUUGGUGCCGGAGUCGCUGUCGGAACUGGACAUCGGAGUGGAUGGGAUCAGAAUCAUAGAGGGAAAGGAGAGGACGGAGUGAGAAAGAGAGUGAGCUAGGGUUUAGAGCGAGGCGCCCGGAUUGGGGUUUUUGUGGCACAAAUGUGGGGUCGGUGGUGGGUCGGGCCUGCCAGGCGGGCACAACAGGGCGUGCCCAGGCCUCCUCAUAUCUGCCCUAGAUUUACACUGGAAAUGAGGGGUGUCGGUCAGCCCGGGCGUUUGUCCGCAGUUUGAGAGGUCGGUUGGGUCAUUCUUUUUACCGGUCAUAGUGAUUGGAUGGCCUGCCCGGGCGUUUGAGACGGGUAUGAGAGGCCCGGAUGUAGAUGCUCUAAGCGGACACAACAAUAUAGAUCCAUAUGUUUGACACUGGAGCAUCUUUUCAUAUGACUCAUGAUUCAUCCACUUUGUCUUCUAUUCAUCCUCUUGAUUCUCGUGUGCAUGUCUUAGUGCUGAUGGUACCUCCCUCCCGGUUAAUGGUUGAGGCAUUCUUAGCACUUUGUGCUUUCAGGUUCCAGAUGUUGCUCAUGUUCCUCGACUUACCAUGCAACUCAUGUUCGAUAGUCAGAUUGUAGACACCGGUUGUCGGGUGAUUCUCGACUUCGACUCUUGCUCUGUUCUAGACCGUCAUGCUAGUGAUCUCCUUGGUGUUGGCCCCCGGCACUGUGACUCCCAGGGCCUCAUGGGAGCUUGAUUGGCUUCACCUUCCCUCCGCUGCCACUGCUGCUAGUCUCUCCUCCUCUGUUGCCUUGUCUACCAGCUCUUUUCAGUAGUGGCAUCAUCGCCUUGGGCACUUGUGUGUCUCUCGUCUCUCAUCCUUAGUUCGAUGUGUUCUUCUUGAUCCGUCUCCGACGGUGUGUCUUUAGACUGCCAGGGUUGUUGGCUUGGUAAAUAGGUCAAGUUACCUUAUCCUCAUAGUGACACUAUAUCUCAGCAUCCUUUCGACCUUGUUCACUCUGAUGUCUAGGGUCCAGCUCCCUUUGCCUCGAAAGGUGGUUAUCGCAAAUAUAUUAUCUUUAUAGAUGAUUUCUCUCGCCACACUUGGAUAUAUUUUAUGUCUUCUCGUAGUGAGGUUUUAUCUAUUUAUAAGUGUUUUGCUGCCAUCGUUCCCACUCAGUUCUAUAGGCCUAUUUGUGUGUUCCGUACUGACUUUGCUGGAGAGUGUAUCUCCAAGAUGUUGUGUGGGGUUCUCGCCAAGCGGGGUACUCUUGCUCAGUUUUCUUGUCCUGGUGCUCAUGCUCAGAAUGGCAUGGUUGAGCGCAAGCAUCGUCAACUUCUUGAGACGGCUCAUGCGAUGAUGAUCGCCGCCUCUCUUCCGCCUCCCUUUUGGGAUGAGGUUGUCUCCACUUCCACAUAUCUCAUCAACCUUCAGCCAUCCACUGCUCUGCAAGGUGGUGUUCUUUUCAAACAUCUCUUUGAUCGUUCUCCUGAUUACUCAGUGCUUCGUUUGUUUGGUUCUGUUUGCUAUGUCCUUCUAGCCCCAACUGUCCGCUCAGUCUGUUGAGUGUGUCUUCUGUUGGAAAUAUGCCCUAGAGGCAAUAAUAAAAUGGUUAUUAUUGUAUUUCCUUGUUCAUGAUAAUUGUCUAUUAUUCAUGCUAUAAUUGUAUUAACCGGAAACCGUAAUACAUGUGUGAAUACAUAGACCACAACAUGUCCCUAGUAAGCCUCUAGUUGACUAGCUCGUUGAUCAAUAGAUGGUCAUGGUUUCCUGACCAUGGACAUUGGAUGUCGUUGAUAACGGGAUCACAUCAUUAGGAGAAUGAUGUGAUGGACAAGACCCAAUCUUAAGCGUAGCACAAGAUCGUGUAGUUCGUUUGCUAAAGCUUUUCUAACGUCAAGUAUCAUUUCCUUAGACCAUGAGAUUGUGCAACUCCCGAAUACCAUAGGAAUGCUUUGAGUGCACCAAACGUCACAACGUAACUGGGUGGCUAUAAAGGUGCACUACAGGUAUCUCCAAAAGUGUCUGUUGGGUUGGCACGAAUCGAGACUGGGAUUUGUCACUCCGUAUGACGGAGAUGUAUCUCUGGGCCCACUCGGUAAUGCACCAUCAUAAUGAGCUCAUUAUGACUAAGUAGUUGGUCAUGGGAUCAUGCAUUACGGAACGAGUAAAGUGACUUGUUGGUAAUGAGAUUGAACGAGGUAUUGGGAUACCGACGAUCGAAUCUUGGGCAAGUAACGUACCGAUUGACAAAGGGAAUUGUAUACGGGAUUGCUUGAAUCCUUGACAUCGUGGUUCAUCCGAUGAGAUCAUCAUGGAACAUGUGGGAGCCAACAUGGGUAUCCAGAUCCCUCUAUUGGUUAUUGGCCGGAGAGUUGUCUCGGUCAUGUCUGCAUGAUUCCCGAACCCGUAGGGUCUACACACUUAAGGUCCGAUGACGCUGGGGUUAUAGGGAAAGUUUGUAUGUGGUUACCGAAUGUUGUUCGGAGUCCUGUAUGAGAUCCUAGACGUCACGAGGAGUUCCAGAAUGGUCCGGAGGUAAAGAAUAAUA